rnacentral:rRNA from 1 species
AUUGAACGCUGGCGGCAGGCCUAACACAUGCAAGUCGAGCGGUAGAGAGAAGCUUGCUUCUCUUGAGAGCGGCGGACGGGUGAGUAAUGCCUAGGAAUCUGCCUGGUAGUGGGGGAUAACGUCCGGAAACGGACGCUAAUACCGCAUACGUCCUACGGGAGAAAGCAGGGGACCUUCGGGCCUUGCGCUAUCAGAUGAGCCUAGGUCGGAUUAGCUAGUUGGUGGGGUAAUGGCUCACCAAGGCGACGAUCCGUACUGGUCUGAGAGGAUGAUCAGUCACACUGGAACUGAGACACGGUCCAGACUCCUACGGGAGGCAGCAGUGGGGAAUAUUGGACAAUGGGCGAAAGCCUGAUCCAGCCAUGCCGCGUGUGUGAAGAAGGUCUUCGGAUUGUAAAGCACUUUAAGUUGGGAGGAAGGGCAGUAAAUUAAUACUUUGCUGUUUUGACGUUACCGACAGAAUAAGCACCGGCUAACUCUGUGCCAGCCGCCGCCGUAA